GUUAUUCCUCACCCAGCCGAAGCACACGCCCCCACCCACACGGCAGACGCCACCAGCACCGUGGAGGCUUUGUGCAGUAAUCUACAGUGGCUGCGAGGUAAUAUUACAGCAUUGAGCGCGAGGAGGCAUAACCACCCCCGAUUGGAACGUAGUUGACCGCGACGAGGAGGACGCAACAUCAACGGGGGUGAGGCACCGACGACCGUCACCUUAAUUGCGGCCAAGAUGGGGGCGAGACGCCGGCCACUCGUUCGCUUCUCCUCCAACCGGUGAUCGAGGUGGAUGAUUCCAGGUGCGGGCACUAGGAUCUCUGCUGUUGGAUCGAGGUGCGGGAGAUUAAACUCAGUCUCUAACCUCCCGAUCGAGACUCAGACUCUGCUGUUGUAUCAUGUUGGAUCUUGUUCGGGGAUGAGACCGAGGUUCGAGUUCGAUCCUGGCCGACGGGGUGAGACGCAUGCUCUCUAGCCUCCCGCAGGUUCCACUCAUUCGAUCCUGCUGUCGGCCAUCCUCCAAGCGGCGUUGGGCAUCAAGUUCGGCUUCAACACCCGCACCAUCCAGAUACACUAUUGCGAGCCAACUGCCCCCAUCAAAUUCGUCCAAGGUCAUCCUGUCUCCUCUCAGAUCUCGUUGGUCUCUCCAUUCUUGGUGCCUGAUUAAGCACAAGAUUAUUAAUAGACACCAUCGCUCUGACGGGAUAUAUGGUAUUGUUGGUUCGAGCGCGUCUCUCGGUCUUUGGUUCAGUGUCAUCUAUGACACCAUCGCUCGGCCGGGCUAUCUGGUGCGAGGAAGCGCCAUCGGAGAACCCAGUCCGCACGAGUAGCCAUGGAGGCGGCUGGCGGGAGUGAUCGUCUGAGCAAGGUGGAUCCAGCAUCCUGGUGUAGAGGCGCCUCAGCGGAGCACCCUGACCCACGUAAGGUCACGGUGGAAUCAUCUCGUCUGGGGAAGCAAUCAUGGUUCUGAUUGUUCAUAUUGAUUUUGAUAGCAGGGGAAUUCACUUUGUACAUGAGGGAAAUUGAGAAGACACUGAAUCCUCUUUACAUGUUCGGUCACAAUAAAACUCUAUUCUGAAUUGACUUCUGAUUUCAAAUGCCCUGCAGGAUGCAGCAGAAGACAUCCUGCAAGAAUACCAAAAAGGCUGCAGUCGAGAGACAAAGCUGGGAACAUAGGAUGUCCGGAUGCUGACGUAGAGGCUUCUCACUCUGUCCAUUUCUGUUGUCUAGUUCCUUCAGCUGUUUAUGUCAGAAGUGGCAUGUGAUCUUCUGUGAGCAUAUGCCUUUUAAUUGGUUAAGAAAAUUGUACUAAGCAUAAAACUAAGUUUGUUUCUGAAUUGUGACUAUUGAUGAGCUCCAUGAUCUAUGAUAAAGUAUUGCCAGAAGAUGGUUGUAAUCUUGGUAGAAAGAAUGGUAUCCUGAUAUCUGAAGUGCACCGGUGAGAUGAGAAAUUUUGUACAUUUUGUAUGACAUUCACUGGUCCUAUGUUUUUUAUUUAGAUGUAAAUGUCUUCAGUACAGAUGUGACUUGAACUUGGAUAGCUAGCAAUGGAACAUUAUGAGUACAAGUAACUUGGAACCUUGCAGUUCAUGAAGUACAUCUCUAACUUAAAUGUCAGAAUUUGGUUAGUUACUACUCCCUCCGUCCCAUAAUAUAUGAGCGUUUUUGACACAUUAUAUAUGGGACAGAGGGAGUAUUUAUGAAAUCUAUGUUAUACAUUGUAUAUGGAGCAGGAAUCUUUGUUUUCCAUGUAAGCUAAGGCGUGUCCAUGGCGGUCUGGGCAUGACCAGGCCACGGACUGGUGUGCAACUCCUCAUCGUACCUCUCAUCCCGACAAUGAGCGGCCCUUGUUGGUCAGUACUACUAAAUGCAAAUAACAGGACAUAGGAGUGUUCUCUAGAGGCGGAUAAUGCAUGUGUUGUGUUUGUUGAUCUUUCUUUUAUUUGCUGAAAUUUUUAUUAGCAACUGAGAUGUAACCAAGAUGUAGGGCAUGGUGAGGAUGUGUAUUCUACUACUAUGUGAUUUGUUCAAAAUUAUCUCAAUGGAAUGUUUGACAAUGUGAUUCAUUUUAAAGUUCAGUAA